UUUUAAGAGCGGAUGGAGGAUGCCUUGGGAGAUUGAGGCGACGAAGGACGUGGCGUGACUGCGAUAAGCCUCGGGGAGGUGUCUAGCAACCUUUGAUCCGGGGAUGUCCGAAUGGGGAAACCCUGCGCAGCAAAACUGCGCAAGCGCUGUUUCGCUGCGCACUGAAAAACCAAAAAACUGAAGAAUAAAGAAGUUUCAUUGUUUUUCGGUUCUUACGUUUUUUAGUGCGCUGCGAAGCAGCGCGGCGAACCCGCUGAAGUAAAACAUUCUAGUAAGCGGAGGAAAAGAAAAAAUAUGCCGUGUCUCACUUUUGUUCGACACGGAACGUCAAAUGCCAAAGCCCAAAUGUCAAAUCAAAUCUAAAAUCUAAAUGUCAAAACAUAAUUUGGAUUUUGGACUUUAAACUUGAUUUGGAAUAAUUUGGAUUUUGAAAUUUGGAUUUCCGUGGCGAGCGGUAGUGAGACACGGUGAUAUUCCCUUAGUAGCGGCGAGCGAAGAGGGAAGUAGCCUAAACUUUCCAGCUGCUUCACAGCUGGUUACGAAUAAUCACGAAUUCUGGCGCUUCGCACCUCACUAAUUAGUACGAUUCGUAUAAAUUAGCGAGCGAACGAAGUGAGCUAGAUUCGCGUAAAUUCGUAUCCAACUGCGAAGCAGUUGGGAGGGGUUGAAAGUAAAUAUCGUCGGGAGCCCAGCAUAUAAUUUUAUGUGCUGGAUUUCUGAGGGAGAACAUUUAGGUGAAGCUUCGUUAGUUAAAUGACCCUGGAAAGGGCAACCAAAGAGGGUAAUAGUCCCGUAGACGAAAACGGCUUUAUGCUCCUUGAUAUUUUACCAGCUGCUUCGCAUCUGGCUACGAAUAAUCACGAAUUUUGGCGCUUCGCGCCUCACUAAUUAGUACGAAUUCGUAUAAAUUAGCGAGCGAACGAAGUGAGCUAGAUUCGCGUAAAUUCGUAUCCAACUGCGGAGCGGUUGGGGUACUUAAGUACCACGGGAAACGAUAAUCCUGUGGGAAGCAGGCCAGACUAAUUGGCCAAGGCUAAAUACUCAAUCUCACCGAUAGCGAACUAGUACCGUGAGGGAAAGGUGAAAAGUAGGGAGGUGAUCCCGGUGAAAUAGAACCUGAAACCAUCUCGCUCACAAAGAGUCGGAGCUGUCCUACGCUCCUUGCUCCGCAAGGAGCUUCGGAACAGCAGGCCUCGUUAUAAUGGGGGCUUGCCAGUCCGUAGCUCUUUACGAAGUAAAGAGCGUAGGAUGGUGACGGCGUGCUUUUUGCAGAACGAGCCAACGAGUCUCUUUACUUUCUUGUCUAACCCCGCCCUCUAUGCUUUAUGUUCACGGCGAAAGCCAUUGAACCUUGAGAAAAAUACUCUUUCUUUUCUCAAAUUAUAAAAUAUAGAGCUUAGAGGGCGGGGGGAGGCUUAGUGAAAGCGAGCGUUAACAGCGCGAAAUUAAAAGAAAGUAAAAAGGACCCGAAGCCAAAGCGAGCUUGCCAUGACCAGGGUGAAGCCCCUUUAAAACGGGGUGGAGGCCCGAACCCGUGAGCUGUGCAAUACUCUGGGAUGAGUUGUGGUAAGAAGUGAAAAGCUAAACGAGCUUGGUAAUAGCUGGUUCUCUCCGAAAUAGCUUUCGGGCUAGCCUUUGUCUUGAUUUUUUCAGGGGUAGAGCACUAAAUGGAAUGUUUUGAGUUUUCUCAGACAUUCUAAUUAAACUCCGAAUACUGAAAAAAACGACAAGGAGUUAGACUGUGGGGGCUAAGUUCCAUAGUCAAAAGGGAAGCAGCCCAGAUCUUCAUCUAAGGUCCCUAAACUUCCGCGAUUUCGCGGAUCUGUAUCUCUCUUUAUAGAGAGAUACCGAGAGCUAAGUGUUUUCUAAGGAAGUAGGUUUCCUCUGAUAGUUAGGAGGUUAGCUUAGAAGCAGCUAUCCUUUAAAAAGUGCGUAACAGCUUACUAAUUAAGGAAUCCUGCGCCGAAGAUUAACGGGACUAAAGCUCAGUACCGAAGAUAAGGGAACGUAACAUUUGCUUGCAAAUUGUACGUUCGGUAGGAGAGCGUCUCUAUUGCAGUGAAGCCCGGCCGUAAGGCAUCGGGUGGAGCGAUAGGGAGUGAGAAUGUUGGCAUGAGUAACCACAAUGGACGUUAAAUCCGUCCACACCGAAAACCCAAGGUUUCCUUGGCAAUGACAAUCAGCCAAGGGUUAGGCAGGCCUAAGGUAUAGCCGAGAGGCGAAGCCGAUGGACAGCCGGUUAAUAUUCCGGCCCCUCUUCAUCUAAUUCUAAAAGGGGACGAAGUUUAGUAGUUUGAGCAAAUUAUUGGAUUUUUGUCGCCAGCCUGAGAUUUUUCAAGGGCUGUCGGGAAGCUCGAUUUAUCGGGCGAACUCAAAUGAGCAAGCUUCCUAGAAAAUCCUUUUAGGAAUUAAUUAGAUGAUGAGUCUGUACCGCAAACCGACACAGGUGGGUUGGUGUGAAUACACCAAGGUGAACGGGUGAAACCUCGUUAAGGAACUAGGCAAAAAAGUGUCCGUAAGUUAGCAAUAAGGACUUCCCCUCCUAAUUUUGGAGAAAAAAUCAAUUAAACCGAGAAUUAUAUAAUUGGUAGUCUUGGAGUAUCUAACUCCAAUCCAAAAUUAGGAGGGGACGCAGCGAAAGUAUCCCUGGCGACUGUUUAUCAAAAACACAGGUCCCUGCUAAACUCGCAAGAGGAUGUAUAGGGGCUGAGGCCUGACCAGUGCUGGAAUGUUAAAGAUGCCGGUUGUAUCGCAAGGUAUGGCUGAGUGUUAUAAGCUUCCAGUGAACGUCCGCGGUAACCAUAACCGUGUUAAAGUAGCGUAACCCCUUGCCAGGUAAGUUCUGGCCCGCAUGAAAGGUCUAACGACUUGGGAACUGUCUCAACGAGGAGCCCGGUGAAAAUGCAAUACCGGUAAAGAUGCCGGUUAUCUGCGGCUAGACGGAAAGACCCCGAGAGCUUUACUGUAGGGUAGUAUUGAGUUUUGAGUUUUGAUGCGUAGCGUAGUGGGUAGGCUUUGAAGUUCAGUUUUCGGACUGGAUGGAGCCAACAAUGAAACACCCAUCUUUUAAACUCUCAAUUCUAAUUUCGUCCCUCAUUUUUGUUCCGGAAGCGAUACUAAUUACUAAUUAGCAACGAAUUUACUAAUAUUGUGAAUUUGUACAUUCGUGUGUCAUUUGCAGAUUAGUGUCGCAUUGGAAGCAAAAGUGAGGGACGGAGGACAGUGCUACUCGGUCAGUUUAAGUGGGGCGCUUGCCUCCUAAAAAGUAACGGAGGCGUUUAAAGGUCGGCUAACUCCGGAUGGAAAUCGGAGCGGUCGUGUAAAGGCACAAGCCGGCUUAACUGCAAGGCGUAUAUGCCGCGCAGGGAGGAAACUCGAACUUAGUGAACCGAUGGAUUUUAGUAGAACAUCCAAAGAUCAUCAGCCAAAAGUUACCUCGGGGAUAACAGGCUAGUAGAGCCCGCGAGUCCACAUCAACGGCUCUGUUCGGCACCUCGAUGUCGGCUCAUCUCAUCCUGGGGGUGGAGAAGCUCCCAAGGGUUUGGCUGUUCGCCAAUUAAAGAGGUACG
rnacentral:rRNA from 1 species